AUUUUCUCCUUCUCUAUGUAACAAUACCCUCUCCAUUAAAGCAUUCUUGACCCCAAGAAUGCUAGAAGUCACGGAACUGGGCCUGGAGAAAGCUUCUGUCUUCCCAAGUGGCUUCCUCAUCAGACAAAUUAGUCCACUUUACCAAGUCUUGGACUAAUUGCUAACCCCCUCUCUCCAUAGUUCUGGUGCCAAGAAUACCAGUAGGAGCCACAAUAAUUUCAUGCUCAUGCAUAGCAGGCAACUAUUUUUGAGGCACCACAUUAUCUCCUACCUUCUUUUUAAGGAGAGAAACAUGAAAUACAGGGUGGAUGGCUACAUGUUUAGGCAACUGCAACUUAUAGGCAACAUGCCCCACCCUCUUUAAACUUGAAAAGGCCCAUAAAAUUUAGCUGCCAACUUCAAGUUUUUCCUUAAUGCCAAAGAGCUCUGUCUAUAAGGCUGAAGCUUCAAAAAAACCCAAUCACCUUCCUGAAAUUCUCGUUCACUUCUUUUCUUAUCUGCUAGUUGCUUCAUCCUAUUUCUAGCUUGCUGUGAAUUGGUUUUCAAAAUAUCAUGGAUUUGUUGUCUUUGAACAUAAAAGUCAGCUACAGCCUGAACUGGAGUUUCAAUUGGUAAAACAACAAGGAAAGUAGAGGGAUAAUACCCAUAUGACGCUUCAAAAGGGGUCAUUUUUAUGGAGCUAUGAUAGGUAGAGUUAUACUACCAUUUAGGUAGAGGCAACCACAUACUCCAAGAUUGAGGUUGAUGAUGACACAUACACCUCAAAUAGGCUUCUAAGCACUGAUUCAAACGCUCAGUUUGCCCAUCUGUUUGAGGAUGAUGAGCACUAUUAUAAGAGAGUAGUUCCCAACUGUUUAAAGAAUUCUUUCCGGAACAAGUUAGUGAAUAGCUUAUCUCUAUUAGUAACAAUAAAGAUAGGGGACCCAUGCAGCUUGUAAAUAUUGUCCAAGAAAAUCUGAGCUACUGUAUAUCCUGUAAAAGGGUGAGACAAAGCCAGAAAAUGGCCAUACUUAGUAUACCUGCAAACUACAACCAAGAUGGUGUCUUUGCCCUUUGAUUUAGGAAGUUGCUCAAUGAAAUCCAUGGUGAUGUGCUGCCAAACUUGAGAAGGCAAUGGAAGGGGCUGCAACAACCUUGGAUAAGCAGAAUUAUCUCCCUUGCGCUGAGCACAAUCAGCACACUGUUGCACCCACUGAAACACAUCUGAAUGCAUACCAGGCCAGUAAAAAUGCUUUUGCAAUCUCAAAUAAGUGUUGUGCAUGCUAGAAUGGCCCCCUAUCGCACUAUUAUGAUAUUGAGCAAUUAGUUUCUUCCUUAAAUCCCCACUAAUGCCCACAUACAACCUUCCUUCAUCAUACAAUAGCCAUUGCUUCAAUCGGUACUUGGAAUGAGCAGCAACAUCUACUGAAAGUUGAGCCAAUAAAGUAUUAGCUUUAUCAUCCUGCUCAGCAAGCAAUCAAGUGGUUUUUCCAAGUUGGAACAAUUACAAAUUGAAGUGCAUAAAUCCCUUGAGUAGCAGAAUGUGGCCUCUUGGAGAGAGCAUCUGCAGUCUUAUUAUCACUCCCUCUUCUAUAAAGAAUUUUAUAAUCUAGCCCCAACAACUUAGAAAUUCCUCUUUGCUGCAAAUUCGUGUGAAGUCUGCUCCAAUAGAUACUUGAUGCUUUCAUGAUCAGUCUUGAUAUAAAAGAUGGCCUGUUCCAGAUAAUGUCUCCAUUUAGAUACAGUAUAUGUAAUGGCCAAUAGCUCUUUUUUAUAUACUGAAAUAGCUUGAUUCCUCACUCCAAAAGC
rnacentral:misc_RNA from 1 species